rnacentral:rRNA from 1 species
GACGAACGCUGGCGGCGUGCUUAACACAUGCAAGUCGAACGGCAGCACGGGUGCUUGCACCUGGUGGCGGGUGGCGAACGGGUGAGUAAUACAUCGGAACGUACCUUAUCGUGGGGAUAACGCAGCGAAAGCUGUGCUAAUACCGCAUACGCCCUGAGGGGGAAAGCGGGGGAUCGCAAGACCUCGCGCGAUUAGAGCGGCCGAUGCCUGAUUAGCUUGUUGGUGGGGUAAAAGCCCACCAAGGCGACGAUCAGUAGCUGGUCUGAGAGGACGAUCAGCCACACUGGGACUGAGACACGGCCCAGACUCCUACGGGAGGCAGCAGUGGGGAAUUUUGGACAAUGGGGGCAACCCUGAUCCAGCAAUGCCGCGUGAGUGAAGAAGGCCUUCGGGUUGUAAAGCUCUUUUGUCAGGGAAGAAACACCGGCUCUAACACAGUCCGGGAAUGACGGUACCUGAAGAAUAAGUCACGGCUAACUACGUGCCAGCAGCCGCAGUAA